rnacentral:rRNA from 1 species
CCUACGGGGGGCUGCAGUGGGGAAUAUUGCACAAUGGGGGAAACCCUGAUGCAGCAACGCCGCGUGAGCGAUGAAGGCCUUCGGGUCGUAAAGCUCUGUCCUAAGGGAAGAAUACUGACGGUACCUUAGGAGGAAGCCCCGUCUAACUACGUGCCAGCAGCCGCGGUAAUACGUAGGGGGCUAGUGUUAUCCGGAAUUACUGGGCGUAAAGGGUGCGUAGGCGGCCCUUCAAGUCAGAGGUCAAAGGCUACGGCUCAACCGUAGUAAGCCUUUGAAACUGUAGGGCUUGAGUCCAGGAGAGGAGGGUGGAAUUCCCAGUGCUGAGGAGAAAUGCGUAGAUUUUGGGAGGACCACCAGUUGCGAAUGCGGCUCUCUGGACUGUAACUGACGCUGACGCACGAAAGCGUGGGGAGCGAACGGGAUUAGAUGCCCUGGUCGUC